GACGAACGCUGGCGGCGUGCCUAAUACAUGCAAGUCGAACGCAGUGGGGACGGGUGAGUAACCCGUGGGUAACCUCCCAUCAGAGGGGAUAACACUUGGAAACAGGUGCUAAACCGAUACUGAUGGAUGGACCCGCGGUGCAUUAGCUAGUUGGUGAGGUAACGGCUCACCAAGGACACGAUGCAUAGACGACCGGAGAGGGGGAUCGGCCACAGUGGGACGGAGACACGGCCCAGGCUCCUACGGGAGGCAGCAGGAGGGGAGCUUCGGCAAUGGACGAAAGUCUGACCGAGCAACGCCGCGGGAUUGAAAAAGGUUUUCGGGGCUUAAAACUCUGUUGUGAGAGAAGCGGUAUCUAACCAGAAAGCCACGGCUAACUACGUGCCAGCAGCCGCGGUAAUAC
rnacentral:rRNA from 1 species